CGUUUUACUUUCUCCUUUGACAUGAAACUCAAUCUUAAAUGUAAGUCCAAGGUUUCCUAUCCCAUGGAUCAGGAAAUACACGCGCUGAAACCCAAAUAGAUGGCCUUAAAGAUGAGACUGUUUCAUUUUUCAUUACACUGAGGUAGUCCUUAUACAUACUCUGAUCAUUUUUCAUUACACUGAGGUCUUACACAUACUCUGAAUUAC
rnacentral:lncRNA from 1 species